rnacentral:tRNA from 1 species
UGUUCUGUGGCUUAGUUGGUUGAAGUGCUGGACUAGCAAAUAUGGAGCCGUGGGUUCGAAUCCCACCAGAACAC